rnacentral:rRNA from 1 species
ACUCAAAUGAAUUGACGGGGACCCGCACAAGCGGUGGAGCAUGUGGAUUAAUUCGAUACUAACCGAAGAACCUUACCCAGACUUGACAUCGAUUGAAAAGUCCAGAAAUGGGCUCCUCUUCCCAAAAGGAAGACAUGAAGACACUUGUUGCAUGGCUGUCGUCAGCUCGUGCCGUGAGGUGUACGGUUAAGUCCGCCAACGAGCGCAACCCUCGUCCUAUGUUGCCAGCAUGAAAGAUGGGAACUCAUAGGAGACCGCCGCCGUAAGUCGGAGGAAGGUGGGGAUGACGUCAAGUCAGCAUGGCAGUUACGUCUGGGGCUUCACACAUGCUACAAUGGGCGAAACAAAGGGCAGCAAUACCGCGAGGUGGAGCCAAUCCCAAAAAUACGCCCCCAGUUCAGAUUGCAGUCUGCAACUCGACUGCAUGAAGGCGGAAUCGCUAGUAAACGCAGGUCAGCUAUACUGCGUUGAAUACGUUCCCGGGUCUUGUACACACCGCCCGU